rnacentral:rRNA from 1 species
GACGUAGGGCGCGAGCGUUGUCCGGAUUUAUUGGGCGUAAAGAGCUCGUAGGCGGCUUGUCGCGUCGAAUGUGAAAUCUCAGGGCUCAACUCUGACAUUGCAUUCGAUACGGGCAGGCUAGAGUUCGGUAGGGGAGACUGGAAUUCCUGGUGUAGCGGUGAAAUGCGCAGAUAUCAGGAGGAACACCAGCGGCGAAAGCGGCUCUCUGGAACGGUACUGACGCUGAGACGCGAAGGCGUGGGGAGCGAACAGG